CCCUUAGAUGUUCUGGGCCGCACGCGCGCUACACUGAUGCAUUCAACGAGUCUAAAACCUGCUCUGAUAGGGGUGGGUAAUCUUUUGAAUGUGCAUCGUGAUUGGGAUAGAUGAUUGCAAUUUUUCAUCUUCAACGAGGAAUGCCUAGUAAACGCAAGUCAUCAGCUUGCAUUGAUUACGUCCCUGCCCUUUGUACACACCGCCCGUCGCUCCUACCGUUUGAAUGAUCCGAUGAAUAUCAUGGAUUGAGGAUGCAAGUAGGUUAGCCUAUCUUCAUCUUCGAGAAGUGAAGUAAAUCUUAUCAUUUAGAGGAAGGAGAAGUCGUAACA
rnacentral:rRNA from 1 species